rnacentral:misc_RNA from 1 species
GAUGAAGAACGUAGCAAAAUGCGAUAAGUAGUGUGAAUUGCAGAAUUCAGUGAAUCAUCGAAUCUUUGAACGCACAUUGCGCCCGCUAGUAUUCUGGCGGGCAUGCCUGUCCGAGCGUCAUUUCAACCCUCAAGCCCCCGGGCUUGGUGUUGGGGAUCGGCGAGCCUCCGCGCCCGCCGUCCCCUAAAUCUAGUGGCGGUCUCGCUGUAGCUUCCUCUGCGUAGUAGCACACCUCGCACUGGGAAACAGCGCGGCCACGCCGUUAAACCCCCAACUUCUGAACGUUUGACCUCGGAUCAGGUAGGAAUACCCGCUGAACUUAAGCAUACAAUAAGCGGAGGA